AUGCAGGAACUGUUACAAUACAACUGAAGUGUUUUAUUGUCGUUCCCCCUGCUUAAAGCAAUUGAUGCAUACUAUCUCUGUCUAGCACAAUUCCAUAGCUAGGCAGAGACGCUUGGCCUCAAACAU
ensembl:snoRNA SNORA63 Small nucleolar RNA SNORA63